AUAUUUUACUUGUGUUGUGGUCUUAAUAAAGUAAUUAGGAAUGAUGUUUAUGGAUAAGGAAUUGUUAAUGUGAUUGGAAUUUUGUUUAAUUAACGUGAAUUAAAGGAAGGAACUUAAAACUAUUUUAAGUGAAAUUGUUUUUAUGAUAUGAAUUAGCUAUUUGUAUUUACUCUGUUUAGUGCGGCAUUCAUAUUCCCUACUGAGAACUAGUGGUUUGUUCUCACCCCAAAAUCUUCCACCCUUUCAGUGACAGGUUCGGAGACUCAGUUUGAAGCCGCGGGCGAUUAGGAGUUUUAUUUAAGUUAAGUUUAUGUGUUGAGUUGCUUUUAUAGAAUUCCCUCGCCCUUGUUAUUAUUUUAUUUUAUUUUAUACAGAGGGAUAGGAGUUGAGUUGUAACUGAGUUUCUUUUGUAUUCUUUUGUAAGAUAUUUAUUAUUAUUAAUAACUAUGUGACUAGUAUUUCUUGGA